UUCAUAAAAAAAAUGGAAGAUAUACAGACAUGAAAAUGGGAGUACAACUUAAAUUAUAUAACCCACGAAAACACUGAAUCUCAAUGAUGAAGUGGAGCCUGAAAUAGGGGGGUAUAUAGGGUAUAUGUACAUAUAUGUCGAUGAAAAUGAGCACUAGAGAAACAAGUAUUACUUUACGUAUCUAGUUAAGUACUCUUGGCCUGUUGGAUAAAUUAGACUGUAGAUAGAACUUAAAAACAAAAAACAAAAGUGGGCAUAAACUUUGCAAUUCUUAGUCACGGAGAAAAGCUUCAAAAGGGCCCAAAAUAGCAAGCGAGGGAUCAAAACAAGGAACCUGAAACCCUAGGAGACCCCCUUCUCCACCAUCCCGGGUCACUUGACAUGCGAGGACUGGUCAUGGCCUUGUCAAUUCCAUCCCCCAUGCCGCCCACAUGAAAACGCUUGUAGAAGACGCAACCUUUAUCAACAUCUACCAUUACUGGCGGUCAGAAGUUCAUUUUCUCAUUCUCAAAGUGGCUAUUGUUCCUUUGAUAAAAGAAAGAAUGACUUGGUCAGUGAGGUUUAAAGAUUUUGGUAUAUUUGGUACCGUGGAUUACGAUGGAUAACUGUUGUGGGCACACCAACAACCCGCCCACACACCACCCGCCUUACAAAUCCAACCAAAUAAUCAUCGCACCUCUAGUAUUCAUUCCCCAUGGUAACCCUAGUGAGCCUCCACUAAGAGUAUUUAUACCCCUAACACACUUCAAUGUUUCAGCACUCAACCAUCUUCUCCUUUCCUCCCCUUGUCUGCCCAUUGAGUCUUUUUCUUGAGGCUUUUUAUGUUGUUGAGUAAAUAGUUCUCCGUGUUCUCUUGACUCUUUCUUUAGCAUUUGUCCGUUUGUGCUUAAGAACAGGCGCCAGUAAUAGCUUUUUGUACCAAGUGGGUCUAACUUAUUUCCCACUCCUGGACAGGGGGUUAAACUUUUAAAGCUUUUUUUAAUUAUCGUUCGUUAUACUUUUUUUUCCCUUCACUUUCCCCUCAUUGGAUAGAUUUAGGGUUUGGAUUAGGGUUCCCUUUGCUAAAGAAAAAUAAAGGUAGGAGAGAAAAAGUCCUAAUUAGCCAAAUAGCUCUCUACUCUGGUCUUUCCCGUUCGUUUUGUUAUCUCUUUUGCAUGGGGAUAGUGAGAUGAUGAUGAUGAUGGUUGCGAAGUUCUAGAAGAAAUUAACGAAACCAGUCACUGUUUGCCUAUGGAGCAUCAUCAAGAUUCACAAGCUUUAUUAGGGCAAGUGAGUGGUGAUGAUGGUGGCUUUUGGUGGUCCCUUUUUCUCAAUCCAAUAGCCCUUUGAAUUGGGAAUCUUGAUGAUGCUGCAGCGGCAAUAAAUGGCUUAUUUAUCUCCUUUUCUCCAACUUUACCGGCUCCCAAAGAUGAAGGUGAUUUUUUGGUACUGCCACCACCUCUUGAUCUGAUCUUAUUAAGUAUGUCUGUACUUCGGUAUGAACCUGUACAUCGUUAGACAUCGUGGGCCUCUUUUAUUUCUUGGAUCCAUGGAGGUUCUUUUGUUCUCUCUAUAUAUGUUUCUUCUCUUAUCGUCCUUUCUUUAGAUCUUGAUCAUCAUUCCCAGCUGUGUAUAAUAUGUGCAAGUGUUCAUAUUACUGACAAAGCUUUUAAUUAUUCUCGGGAUAUGAUGUGCUUGAAUGCACCAAGUCACACAUACAAUCAUUUUUUUGCUCUUUUGUACAUGUAGAUUUGUAGAGUUUCGAUUUUUCCGUUGCCUCUUCAUCAAAAUCUUUAGCUUGAUGACGGGAUUUUCUUAUUUUGCCUUUCAGUUUCAUAUCACCAAUAUUGUAGUUGUACAUUUGAGAAUUAAAAGAAGGAAUUACCGUGUGUUCUUCUAAACAUAUUCUUGGCAACUAUGUUUUAUUUUUUCAGGUUCAGGGAAGAUCUUCUGAUUUCUCAAAAUUUCGGGAUAAUAGCUUGUGCCUAGCUUGAUAGGCUGCUUGGUAUACACCCAUACACGUUU